GCUCCACGUUACAACAUGAACACGUGUUUCAGUCAAACACGAGCUUUAAUUUAAUGGUAGCCGCAAACACCUUUUUUAGUUUUCAUUUUGAAUUGCUCUUUAAGCACCCAUCGUAAGAAUCUGUCAGUUCUACGGAUUAGUUAGUUUUUCCUCAAUAAGAUGGAGGCAUAUUGACGAUGGAAAUCACAUGACGGCGCUCGCUCUGUGGGCUCAAAACAGACAUGCCCACAUCUUGACCUACAACCAUGUCCAAGUGGCAGCUCUGGGAUGGAGCUGCUGACGGUGCUGCCUCUGGGACUGCAGGUGGAGCCAGCAGAGGACAGCACUGAGCUGCUUUGACAAACACUCGUCUUCUCCCAGGAGCAGGACUGGACUAAGCCUGGAUAUGUGAUGGCGUCAGUCCACCUGCCGCCCCCCAUGGUCCAGCACUGAGGCUGUGAACAGGACUUAAACAUUGGGUUUAAAUGUCCUAAAGGAAUUGCCUACCUUAUCUACAGGAGAUGAUUGUCCUGUAUAAACAACUGUGAAAUGUCUGAAUGUUUGUAUCGUGUACACAUAUUCAAAUAUAUGCUCUAGCAUCAA